GACGAACGCUGGCGGCGUGCUUAACACAUGCAAGUCGAACGCUGAAGCUCAGCUUUUGUUGGGUGGAUGAGUGGCGAACGGGUGAGUAACACGUGAGUAACCUGCCUCCUUCUUUGGGAUAACGCCCGGAAACGGGUGCUAAUACUGGAUAUUCACUGGUCUUCGCAUGGGGGUUGGUGGAAAGGGCUUUUCUGGUGGGGGAUGGGCUCGCGGCCUAUCAGCUUGUUGGUGGGGUGAUGGCCUACCAAGGCUUUGACGGGUAGCCGGCCUGAGGGGGUGACCGGUCACAUUGGGACUGAGAUACGGCCCAGACUCCUACGGGGGGCAGCAGUGGGGGAUAUUGCACAAUGGGCGCAAGCCUGAUGCAGCGACGCCGCGUGAGGGAUGGAGGCCUUCGGGUUGUGAACCUCUUUCGCUCAUGGUCAAGCCGCAACAAUGGUUGUGGUGAGGGUAGUGGGUAAAGAAGCGCCGGCUAACUACGUG
rnacentral:rRNA from 1 species